rnacentral:tRNA from 1 species
GGGGAUUUAGCUCAGUGGUAGAGCACUUGCCUAGCAAGUACAAGACCCUGGGUUCAGUCCUCA